rnacentral:rRNA from 1 species
CCUACGGGUGGCUGCAGUGAGGAAUAUUGGUCAAUGGGCGUAAGCCUGAACCAGCCAAGUCGCGUGAAGGAUGACUGUUCUAUGGGUCGUAAACUUCUUUUAUAUGGGAAUAAAGUGCGGGACGUGUCCCGUUUUGUAUGUACCUUAUGAAUAAGGAUCGGCUAACUCCGUGCCAGCAGCCGCGGUAAUACGGAGGAUCCGAGCGUUAUCCGGAUUUAUUGGGUUUAAAGGGGGCGUAGGGGGUCUUUAAGUCAGCUGUGAAAGUUUGCGGCUCAACCAUAGAAUUGCAGUUGAAACUGGGAGUCUUGAGUAUGUUUGAGGUAGGCGGAAUGCGUGGUGUAGCGGUGAAAUGCUUAGAUAUCACGCAGAACCCCGAUUGCGAAGGCAGCUUGCCAAGCCAUGACUGACGCUGAUGCACGAAAGCGUGGGGAUCAAACAGGAUUAGAUACCCGGGUAGUC